rnacentral:rRNA from 1 species
GACGAACGCUGGCGGCGUGCUUAACACAUGCAAGUCGAACGGAAAGUCCUGCUUUCCCUUGUGGAUUGCUGGUACUCGCGUGGCGAACUGGUGAGUAACACGUGAGUGAUCUUCCCCCAACUUGGUUAUAAGCCUGGGAAACUGGGUCUAAUUCCCGAUUGGACUCCAGGGUGGGGCUUGUUGUGGUAAACGAUUUUCUAGUGGUUUGGGUUGAGCUCGCGGCGUAUCAGCUUGUGGGUGGGGUAAUGGUCUACCACGGCGGCGACGGGAAGCAGGCCUGAGAGGGUGGACGGCCAGAUUGGGACAGAGAUACGGCCCAGACUGCGACGGGAGGCAGAAGUGGGGAGUAUUGAGCAGUGGGCGGAAGCCUGAUGCAGCGACGACGCGUGGGGGAUGACGGCGUUCGGGUUGUAAACUCCUUUGGACCGCGAGGAAGCUACCUGGGUGGAAGGAUGGUGACGGUAGUGGUAGAAGAAGCACCGGCUAACUACGUG